UAGGGAAUUUUCGUCAAUGGGCGCAAGCCUGAACGAGCAAUGCCGUGUGAACGAGGAAGGUCUUCGGAUCGUAAAGUUCUGUUGAAGGGGAAAAAGAGCGGAGAGAGGAAAUGGUCUCCGAUUGAUAUUACCCUUCGAGGAAGUCACGGCUAACUACGUGCC
rnacentral:rRNA from 1 species